rnacentral:rRNA from 1 species
UGGCGAACGGGUGAGUAACACGUGGGUGAUCUGCCCUGCACUCUGGGAUAAGCCUGGGAAACUGGGUCUAAUACCGGAUAGGACCAUGCUUUAGUGUGUGAGGUGGAAAGUUUUUUCGGUGUAGGAUGAGCCCGCGGCCUAUCAGCUUGUUGGUGGGGUAAUGGCCUACCAAGGCGGCGACGGGUAGCCGGACUGAGAGGUUGGUCGGCCACAUUGGGACUGAGAUACGGCCCAG